rnacentral:rRNA from 1 species
GACGGAGGGUGCUAGCGUUUGUCGAAUUACUGGGCGUAAAGGGCGCGUAGGCGGCCCUGUCAGUCGGGUGUGAAAGCCCGGGGCUCAACCCCGGAACGGCACCCGAGACGGCAGGGCUGGAGACCGGGAGAGGAGGGUGGAAUAGCCAGUGUAGAGGUGAAAUUCGUAGAUAUUGGCUGGAACACCGGUGGCGAAAGCGGCUCUCUGGCCCGGUUCUGACGCUGAGGCGCGAAAGCGGUGGGGAGCAAACAGGG